GAGAGAGAGAGAGAGAGAGAGAGAGAGAGAGAGAGAGAGAGAGAGAGACAGGACCGGACAGCUGCCUGAACCAGUGUCUUUGCCUGAACGACUGUGCAUAAAAAUACAACAGGAACGGUAAUGUGACUUUCAUUUGAGUAUAUUUAUUAUGAUUAUGUUUGUAUCACUACAUAUAAUGCUGCACAUACGUGGCAUUUAUUUUAUUGUGUGUUACACCAGACGUGGUUAAAAAGCCCUCUUAAAACAGUCUUCCAUGCAACGUUGUAGGCUACAUAAGGUGUUAUGCUAGUUAAUGACAGUUCAAUGACAGCUACUUAAAUCAGUUCAGUUGUAAGCAUGCAUUAUCCACUGUAUUUGUAACGAGGUAGUGAAGAGUGGGCUACUACUCAAAUAAAUAAUGUAACUUAUCACUUUCCUCAUUUUCAGUUUUCUAGACUACUGACACCAGGCUAUGUUUUGCCCUUUCUGUGGACAAGAGCUGGGAACAAUUUACAGGUUCUGUGGCUCAUGUGGAACCAAUGUGCAGUCUUUGGAAGAAUAUGCAAACAACAGAUCAGAAUCAGAUAUUCCCACCCAAGAGGAUUUAAUCCAAAGAUAUUUUCAUCAUGGCUACAGCAAUGGAGAAAUUUUAGAUUUUUUGUCUUCAAAACACAAAAUUAAUAUGAGUCUUCGCUCUCUGAAGAGGAAGCUGAAAAGUUUGUCUCCGUUUAGGCAGAAAGACUACUCUCCUCUUGCCACUGUUCGUGCUGCCAUCCAGGAGGAGUUAAAAGGUCCAGGAAAACACUAUGGCUACUGCUCAAUGUGGCAGACACUGCGCUCAAAGUACUCGCUCACUGUCAAGAGGGAUGAUGUCAUGACCAUCAUGAGAGAACUUGACCCACAAGGCAUUCAACUACGUGCAAGCAGAAAUUUUUUAAGAAGAGUGUACAGUUCUGCCGGACCAAACCAUGUCUGGCAUGUGGAUGGUUAUGACAAGCUGAAGCCGUACGGUUUUGGAAUAAGUGGCUGCAUUGAUGGAUUUUCUCGGAAGGUGCUGUGGUUGAGAUGUGCAGCAAGCAACAAUGACCCAGUGGUCAUUUCUCAAAUUUAUCUGAACUGUCUGGCUGAAGGUGGAAUCAUUCCAACACGACUUCGAACUGACUGUGGUACUGAAAAUGGAACAAUGGCUGCAAUUCAUUGUACCUUAAGGUCAUCUCAUACUGAUGACUAUACUGGGGCUGCCAGUCAUAGGUACGGCUCUUCAACGGCAAACCAAAGAAUUGAAAGCUGGUGGUCAUAUUUUCGCAAACAGAGGUGUCGUUAUGUAUUGUUUUUUGUGUUUUACAAGCUACAAGCAAAUUUUUAAAAUGAACUUUAAAACAGACAACAUAACAUUAUGGUUCUUGCAUGUUUAUUGUUUUUUGAUGAACAACAAAUUAUAUUUUUCAUGUGAUUAAAACAUUUUAGAUUGAAUCACUAGUAUCCAAAAACAUUACAUGAAAUGCAUCAAACUAAUUUCAGCUUGUGUCUUCAGGUCACAAUUUUGGAUGGACCUUCUGAAUGAUUUGAGAGAAACAAAUCUCUACAAUUAAACCAGAGGUCAUAUACAACCUACCUCACAGGUUUGGUGCAACUGAGUGUGGGUUUCCAGUUUCACUGGAGGAACUGCAGCCAUUUCAGACCGAGGCCACACACAGUACAUGUGGAGAUCACCAUCUCCAGUCACGCUUUGAGGAUCUACAGAGUCAAAGUGGGCUGAUGCAUCCACUUACCUGGGAGUCCUGCGUGGAACUCUAUAUGACAUUGAAGAACCUGGCUGAUUUGUAACCACACUGGAAAUACAGGUACUAACUGUUGAACUAUAGACACUGAAGGUCAACCUAACAGUUUGUUAGAACAAAAAAAAAAUUAGUACAGUCCAAAACCAGGUGCAUUUUUUAUUCCAAAGUCCAUGUCCUUUGGAAACUCUUCAUAUGUCAUUGACAGUGGAAUUUCCAUUGUGUUGGCACAGGUUCUGCUGCAUGGGAAGCGAGACACCCUUUGAAAGACCAGCUUUGGUCUUGGGUUAAACCCAGAUGGGGGCAGUGAACUGAGUCCUGUGGCGAACAUCAGGAUGUCAGCGAGGGAAAGUCCUGUUUGUUUAUCUGAAAGAAAAAAAGAUUUACAAAAAUGUGUUUGAUUAAACCUGUCUUCAUAAAGCAUUAUAGAAA